GCUCAACCGGGGAGGGUCAUUGGAAACUGGGGAACUUGAGUGCAGAAGAGGAGAGUGGAAUUCCACGUGUAGCGGUGAAAUGCGUAGAGAUGUGGAGGAACACCAGUGGCGAAGGCGACUCUCUGGUCUGUAACUGACGCUGAGGCGCGAAAGCGUGGGGAGCGAACAGGAUUAGAUACCCUGGUAGUCCACGCCGUAAACGAUGAGUGCUAAGUGUUAGAGGGUUUCCGCCCUUUAGUGCUGCAGCAAACGCAUUAAGCACUCCGCCUGGGGAGUACGGUCGCAAGACUGAAACUCAAAGGAAUUGACGGGGGCCCGCACAAGCGGUGGAGCAUGUGGUUUAAUUCGAAGCAACGCGAAGAACCUUACCAGGUCUUGACAUCCUCUGACAACCCUAGAGAUAGGGCUUCCCCUUCGGGGGCAGAGUGACAGGUGGUGCAUGGUUGUCGUCAGCUCGUGUCGUGAGAUGUUGGGUUAAGUCCCGCAACGAGCGCAACCCUUGAUCUUAGUUGCCAGCAUUCAGUUGGGCACUCUAAGGUGACUGCCGGUGACAAACCGGAGGAAGGUGGGGAUGACGUCAAAUCAUCAUGCCCCUUAUGACCUGGGGCUACACACGUGCUACAAUGGGCAGAACAAAG
rnacentral:rRNA from 1 species